GCAUGCUUAACACAUGCAAGUCGAACGCGAAAGUCGCCUUCGGGUGGCGAGUAGAGUGGCGGACGGGUGAGUAACGCGUAGGAAUCUGCCCAGUGGUGGGGGACAACUCGGGGAAACUCGAGCUAAUACCGCAUACGCCCUACGGGGGAAAGCGGGGGAUCUUUUCGGAGACCUCGUGCCAUUGGACGAGCCUGCGUCGGAUUAGCUAGUUGGUAGGGUAAAGGCCUACCAAGGCGACGAUCCGUAGCUGGUCUGAGAGGACGACCAGCCACACUGGGACUGAGACACGGCCCAGACUCCUACGGGAGGCAGCAGUGGGGAAUAUUGGACAAUGGGCGCAAGCCUGAUCCAGCAAUGCCGCGUGUGUGAAGAAGGCCUGCGGGUUGUAAAGCACUUUCAAUUGGGAAGAAAAGUGGGGUGGUUAAUACCCACUCUUCUUGACGUUACCUUUAGAAGAAGCACCGG
rnacentral:rRNA from 1 species